GCAGUCGAGCGGAAGAUGGGAGCUUGCUCCCUGAUGUUAGCGGCGGACGGGUGAGUAACACGUGGGUAACCUGCCUGUAAGACUGGGAUAACUCCGGGAAACCGGGGCUAAUACCGGAUGCUUGAUUGAACCGCAUGGUUCAAUUAUAAAAGGUGGCUUUUACCUACCACUUACAGAUGGACCCGCGGCGCAUUACCUAGUUGGUGAGGUAACGGCUCACCAAGGCAACAAUGCGUACCCAACCUGAAAGGGUGAUCGGCCACACUGGGACUGAAACACGGCCCAAACUCCUACGGGAGGCACCAGUGGGA
rnacentral:rRNA from 1 species